rnacentral:rRNA from 1 species
UACGUAGGGGGCGAGCGUUAAUCGGAAUUACUGGGCGUAAAGCGUGCGCAGGCGGUUUUGUAAGACAGGUGUGAAAUCCCCGGGCUUAACCUGGGAACUGCGCUUGUGACUGCAAGACUUGAGUACGGCAGAGGGGGGUAGAAUUCCACGUGUAGCAGUGAAAUGCGUAGAGAUGUGGAGGAAUACCGAUGGCGAAGGCAGCACCCUGGGUCGAUACUGACGCUCAUGCACGAAAGCGUGGGGAGCAAACAGG